GCAAUUAGGGAAAAAUAUAAUUAAGAUGUUUGAGGGAAUAUCUUUGGGGUUAAUGAAAGCUUUGCCUUAACUUGUAAAGUUCCUGAAAAGGUUUUAAGCUUUAGAUAUUAAGUGAAAUGUCACAAAGUCUUUUACUAAAGGAAAGUCCACUGUCUGCAGGUGGUAAAAGUGGUGGUAAAAAUCAAGAGCAUGAAGGAUGUACUGGCGUCAUUGGGGUCCUCGCUGGCAUCAGAUGCUACAGAAGUCCAUCGGGAAACCAAUGAAGGCGCUGAGGCAUCUGUUGCCCACAUUAAACUAACGACAGAUUCCAGAAGAAGCAAAAGACUUGUUAAAUCCAUUUUCUAUGAGUGAAUCAUGUGGGGAACCAAACGGCAACCUCCAGGUCUGAGCGAUGACGCCCAUGCGGAAGUACAAAAAAGGCAGUUCAAGUGGCUGCUUGACGCUGGCUUCAAACGAGAGCAAAUCCCCAUGGACUGCAAUGUUUACAGCCUGGUACAAAAAGCGGUUUUGGUUUCAAUGGUAUUACCAUGAUGACUGUAUUUUGCUUUUUAAGGUUAAAUUCUGCAUAAUU